GAUGAAGAACGUAGCGAAAUGCGAUAAGUAAUGUGAAUUGCAGAAUUCAGUGAAUCAUCGAAUCUUUGAACCCACAUUGCGCCCGUCAGUAUUCUGGCGGGCAUGCCUGUUCGAGCGUCAUUACGCCCCUCAAGUCCCCUGUGGACUUGGUGUUGGGGAUCGGCGAGGCUGGUUUUCCAGCACAGCCGUCCCUUAAAUUAAUUGGCGGUCUCGCCGUGGCCCUCCUCUGCGCAGUAGUAAAACACUCGCAACAGGAGCCCGGCGCGGUCCACUGCCGUAAAACCCCCCAACUUUUUAUAGUUGACCUCGAAUCAGGUAGGACUACCCGCUGAACUUAAGCAUAUCAAUAAGCGGAGGA
rnacentral:misc_RNA from 1 species